ACCCUCCCCGCUCUGCAUGGUUACACCUGCCACAACAUGUGUGACUUUCGUGAAGAGGAUAGAGAGAAAGGGUGCAUGUCCUGAGGACCUCAGGUAGGCCUCCUGUAGCCUGUCCCUUCUGGGGGGGCACAUAGGA
ensembl:snoRNA